rnacentral:misc_RNA from 1 species
UCCGGCUUAUCACCGGCAGUUUCAUCAGAGUGCCCAGCAUAACCUGGUAGCAACUGAUGAUGAGGGUUGCGCUCGUUGCGGGACUUAACCCAACAUCUCACGACACGAGCUGACGACAGCCAUGCAGCACCUGUGUUCCAGCCAGCCGAACUGAAGAACCCGAUCUCUCGGGCUCAUACUGGACAUGUCAAGGCCUGGUAAGGUUCUUCGCGUUGCGUCGAAUUGAACCACAUACUCCACCGCUUGUGCGGGUCCCCGUCAAUUCCUUUGAGUUUUAAUCUUGCGACCGUACUCCCCAGGCGGUCAACUUCACGCGUUAGCUGCGCUACCUAGGUCCGAAGACCCCAACAGCUAGUUGACAUCGUUUAGGGCGUGGACUAC